AGAGUUUGAUUAUGGCUCAGGAUGAACGCUGGCGGCGUGCUUAACACCUGCAAGUCGAACGGAGUUUAGAGAGCUUGCUCUUAAACUAGUGGCGGACGGGUGAGUAACGCGUGGGUAACCUGCCUUUCACUGGGGGAUAACAGUUAGAAAUGACUGCUAAUACCGCAUAAGCGCACGGGAUCGCAUGAUCUAGUGUGAAAAACUCCGGUGGUGAAAGAUGGACCCGCGUCUGAUUAGCUAGUUGGUGAGGUAAGGCCCACCAAGGCGACGAUCAGUAGCCGGCCCGAGAGGGUGAACGGCCACAUUGGGACUGAGACACGGCCCAAACUCCUACGGGAGGCAGCAGUGGGGAAUAUUGCACAAUGGGGGAAACCCUGAUUGCAGCGACGCCGCGUGAGUGAAGAAGUAUUUCGGUAUGUAAAGCUCUAUCAGCAGGGAAGAAAAUGACGGUACCUGACUAAGAACGCCCCGGCUAACUACGUGCCAGCCGCCGC
rnacentral:rRNA from 1 species